rnacentral:lncRNA from 1 species
UUAGCUUAUACACGGAAGAUUAAAUCAUCGGUUCUUGUAAAACAUAAAAGUUAAUGUUCACAAUCUAAUGAUGGAAUUGGACAAAUCAUCGGAAUGAUUGUAGCACAAGAUUAAAUAUAAUUUAUCUUGAUUAUGAGAAUGGUUUAAUUCCAACUUCUUGUGCUAAUACGUUUUGUAUGUAUUGAACGGAUCAAGUAGGGAUG